AUAAUAUGACCGCUUUAAUAUAUUUCGUGACAGACCAUGCUUGUCAGUAUGGCCAUGGCAAUGAGGUUUAGCAGAUACAUAUAUUCUCAAUGAGACUGGAUCACAAAGAAUGACAGUUUGAAUUAAAUUAUUUAAGAGACCCAUAUAUGUCCUUUCCAGAUCAUAUAUUGCAAGUCAACAAAGACAUUAGAUUUUUCAUUCAAACAUUCAAAGUAAUAUUAUGGCAAUACGUUACAAACUAAUAUAGAGAGGAUCAUCGUGUAAGUGGUUUAUGCAUAUUGAUCAUAUUUAAGAUUAGGAGUUUUACUAAAACUCACUAUUUUAAUGCAUAAAUCAUCCAUUUGUCCAACAGAUAUGAUGUAUACCUCAUACAGUACAAAUCUGUUAAGGAGGGUGGGCUACAUUUCUAAGGUCUCCUACAUGCAUUUUUGACUUUGGUGGGUAAUAAAUGCCUUAAAAAAAGCCAGUAAGUAGCCAUCUAGCAACCACCCAAAACACCAUAGCAACACCACAGAAGCUGCAACGCAACACUUUGACAUCUUGGUUGCAACUUUUGUAUGAGUACCAUUCCCAUUUUCAUGGAAAAACAAAGUUUAGAAGAGUUCAGCUAAUAAUAGCAAAAUGUCCAUUCAAUUGAAAUAGUCCAAUACUGUUUCAUAUUCUGGUAGAUUCAGCCAAACAAAACCCAAAGUCACAUACAUAUACCUCUAUCAACAGUGUAAAUGUUCUACCCUUAUUUCUGGGUACCAUAAAGAGAAAAGUUGUAGGUAUCUGGUUCUAACACGAUCUAUUGUGUAUCAUAUGAAGGCUGCUAUACUUCACACCCAGUCUAUCGAUGCAUAUUUCCAGGGAAUUUUCUGAAGGUAUUUUUUCAGGUAUUUUAAUAAAGGCACAUCUGAAAGUAGCCGAUGCAGUUUGUCACAGAUAGGGGUGCAUUAUGCGAUGAAAAGUGGAUCAUAUGCAAUUUCACUUUUAGCCAGCAGAGUUUAGUAAGCUAAAAAAGAAUGAAUGGAAGUAAGUUUUGAACCUUUUGGAACUUUUUUUAAUGAGGCCUGCUGGUCUAGGACUGUAACUUGUAUUUGGUUUCUCUACUGUAAAGGUAAAUGUGUGACUAUUUCAUUUUGUAAAUAGUUAUCCCUACACGGUUGAUGAUAUACGAGGUGGACGAGGUCACGUGAUUGCAUCCUCUUAUUAUGUGCUGUACAUACUGGUAUGUCAUAUGUUUUGCACUCUUUUUUCAGAAAAUAAAAUACAGUAAGCUUG